UGAAUGGAGGAAAUAUAUGAGGACCUGUGCGAAUGUAUUCAAUCUACAUCGAUUAUUUGGCGAGAAGAUUUUGGAUACUUAUACAGGACUAAGAAACUAAAAAAAAAAACCUUUCGGCUAGUCAUUUUAGAUGAAAUCUUGAAUUAUUACAGUCUUUCUUUGUUAUCCCAAGUAAUGACAUUGCUUAAGUCACCUUUCAAACUAGUCUUGUAAUGGGAACAAGGUUUUGCUCUCUUAGGAUUUCCCAAGGGCAUCAACCUCUGCUUCAGCUGAAGUACAUAUACUAGCAAAUUCUACAACAGGAUUGCGUAGUUACGACGCAAAUGCUGAGAGAGCCAGAGUGACCUUCUGAACCAUGAGAGCAUAUGUUGCCCCAAAGAC
rnacentral:lncRNA from 1 species